UACCGCAUAACGUCGCAAGACCAAAGGAGGGGACCUUCGGGCCUCUUGCCAUCGGAUGUCGCCCAGAGUGGGAUUAGCUAGUAGGGUGGGGUAACGGCUCACCUAGGCGACGAUCCCCUAGCUGGUCUGAGAGGAUGACCAGCCACACUGGAACUGAGACACGGUCCAGACUCCUACGGGAGGCAGCAGGUGGGGAAUAUUGCACAAUGGGCGCAAGCCUGAUGCAGCCAUGCCGCGUGUAUGAAGAAGGCCGUUCGGGUUGUAAAGUUACUUUCAGCGGGGAGGAAGGGAGUAAAGUUAAUACCUUUGCUCAUUGACGUUACCCGCAGAAGAAGCACCGGCUAACUCCGUG
rnacentral:rRNA from 1 species